rnacentral:rRNA from 1 species
UACGUAGGGUGCAAGCGUUGUCCGGAAUUAUUGGGCGUAAAGAGCUCGUAGGCGGUUUGUCGCGUCUGCUGUGAAAACUCGGGGCUUAACCCCGGGCCUGCAGUGGGUACGGGCAGACUAGAGUGCGGUAGGGGAGACUGGAAUUCCUGGUGUAGCGGUGAAAUGCGUAGAGAUCCGGAAGAACACCGGUGGCGAAGGCGGUCUGCUGGGCAGUUGCUGACACUGAGGCGCGACAGCGUGGG